ACCCCGCUCGCCGGCGCCGACCCGGAGAUCUACGACCUCCUCGAGCGCGAGAAGCGGCGCCAGCGUCGCGGCAUCGAGCUCAUCGCCUCUGAGAACUUCACCUCCUUCGCCGUCAUGGAGGCGCUCGGCUCCGCGCUCACCAACAAGUACUCCGAGGGCAUGCCCGGCGCCCGCUACUACGGCGGCAACGACGUCAUCGACGAGAUCGAGAACCUCUGCCGCUCCCGCGCGCUCGCCGCCUUCCGCCUCGACCCGGCCUCCUGGGGCGUCAACGUGCAGCCCUACUCGGGCUCCCCCGCCAACUUCGCCGCCUACACUGCCCUGCUCAACCCGCACGACCGGAUCAUGGGCCUCGACCUCCCCUCCGGCGGACACCUCACCCACGGGUACUACACCUCCGGCGGGAAGAAGAUCUCCGCCACCUCGAUCUACUUCGAGAGUCUGCCGUACAAGGUGAGCGCCACCACCGGCUACAUCGACUACGAGAAGCUCGAGGAGAAGGCCCUCGACUUCCGCCCCAAGCUCAUCAUCUGCGGUGGCAGCGCGUACCCGAGGGACUGGGACUACGCCAGGCUCAGAGCCGUCGCUGACAAGGUCGGGGCGCUGCUGCUCUGCGACAUGGCGCACAUCAGUGGGCUCGUUGCCGCGCAGGUAUAAUAAUCGUGAUGAAUUGUUCUCGAUUAGCUAGUUGCUUUCAUGAAAUUUCAUCUCGCAUUCCCGUUGAAAUGGCAAUUAGUUGGAUCUGAAAGAUGUGGUAGUUUGGAUUCUACUUGGGAUCUAAUCGUCCACUGAUUUUUAGGAUUUUUUAUGUGGACGCAUGCUGUCUGUCGUUUUGUGCCUUGUCUUGUUUCAUAUAAAUAGUAAAAAUGUGGCUUGUAAUCGUCGAAAUUGAAAUUUUGCCUGCUUUAGUUUGUCUGAUGAAUGUAUUCCUUUGAUGGUGAUAGAUCUGAUAUUCCGUCUAUUUUGUUUGGGUGUAUUCUUAAUGGAUGUGGUCCUGCUUAGUGGAAGUGCGCUCAGAUACUAACUGAACCAAUUGAAACUAUUGCUGGAGUCAGUCAAAAGAUUGUGAUAAUUUAUUAGAGAACUGUUACAUAGUUGUGCUUGUGCAAAUCACAUAGGGCGUCCUUGUGCACAUUACUGGCAUGCUAAUCAAAUGUGUGCUCAUACAUGUGCAUAUGUUUUAAGUAUUUUCAUGCCUUUUGGUCUACUUUUUUUAUGCAAUAAUCAUGCAUAUAUAGGUAAUGCAAAGUGAAUCUCACAGACAAUCUGCUAUAUUAUGAGGCACACAAAUUUCUAACUCGUUGUACCAGAGGGCUCUUUUCUUUUUGUAUAGACUAGCUAAUGCACUAUUCGAGGGCCAGUGGGCCAUAAUACUUCUUUGAUGUCUUGAAGUUGAUAUUAUUUGUUAGUCCUUUGAUAUCAUUUUUCUUUGAAUUCUUGAAGAGGUCCAAAGAGAUUAUUCACUAUGAAUAUUUAGUUAGUUGAAUAAUCUGUUUCUAUAAAAUCUCAUUAUUUGCCUUCCUCCAUUUCAGGAAGCUGCGAAUCCUUUUGAGUAUUGUGAUGUGGUUACCACUACCACACACAAGUCUCUCCGUGGGCCAAGGGCUGGCAUGAUCUUCUACAGGAAAGGCCCUAAGCCCCCCAAGAAGGGCCAGCCUGAGGGUGCUGUGUAUGACUAUGAAGACAAGAUCAACUUUGCGGUGUUCCCAUCUCUACAAGGUGGUCCUCACAACCACCAGAUUGCUGCACUUGCUGUUGCUCUGCAGCAAACUAUGACACCAGGCUUCAAGGCCUAUGCAAAGCAAGUGAAAGCGAAUGCUGUUGCCAUUGGAAACUAUCUCAUGAGCAAGGGCUACAAGAUGGUGACGGAUGGAACUGAGAACCACCUUGUUCUCUGGGAUCUCCGCCCUCUUGGCUUAACUGGUAUGCAAAUUAGCAAUCUAAUUGCACUUCGUUUUCUAGAGGAUGUCAUAACUUGUUCUAAUGUUGGCUUAUGUCUGCAGGAAACAAGGUUGAAAAGCUCUGUGACCUUUGCCACAUUACAUUGAACAAGAAUGCUGUCUUUGGUGACAGCAGUGCAUUGUCUCCGGGUGGUGUCCGCAUUGGUCAGUAUCAUUAUAAUUAUUCGUACUUCUGUUAUGGUGCAACCCUCAAGCCUCAAUAAAUUAUUACAGCAUUGUUAUUCAUAAAAUUUUGGUAGCCCCUCUUCUUAAUGAAAAGGUAAUAUGAUUAAAGUUUUUUUAGGUGUGUUUGACCCUAGUGUGCCCAUAGUUGGCAAGCCAAAAUUUGGCUACUUUGACUAACUUUGUCCACCAUUUUGGUUGGGUGCCAAAAUUUGGGUAUGCAACAGUCUCAUUUGGCUGCCUAGUUCAUUUUUUUGGCCAAUAGGCCAAAAUCUUGGCCACCAGAUUGAUGGCCCUGAUUCUGGCUUGCCAAUGAUUUGUCCUCCCCAUUCCCCAUAGUAAAUUUGUUCAUAAACCAAACAGCUCCAAAAUGAUUUAGGAAAGUGGUAUACUUAUAUUUUUGGACAGAUGCCUGAUUUACAUGCCUUCUUAAAUUCUGCAUUGCAAGUGUAUUGUACUGGACCAUUGUACACUGGUAACCGUUGUCCAAAAUCCAUAUGGAGUGUUUGGUACUUGUGCCUUUGCUUGGUCCUUGUUCCAUGUGAAGGGUGACUAUACUCACCUAUGAACCAUUCAAUCUCUUUAAUUAUUUCAACUAUGUUAAUAGUUUUGGUUCCAUUUCACUUGACUCGCUGUCACAUUUUUCUACACAGAAGUGCUGUACUCUAGCAAAUGUUAAUGAGUUGGUCAUUAGAGAUACAAACAUCGCUUUGUUUGUGUCAUAACCUCCAGGGCUUACAUAUGUGAUCCAAGACUUGUGCUUGGCACUUAAAAUCCUGUAUCGUCCUACAGAGCUUUACCCUGAAAAUGAUGUUAACACUUAACACAGCUAAGAACUCUACUGCGAAAGAAUGUCAGACAAUAAAAUAUACCGCACCCCAUUCUUUCGUGUAGAACAUUGGUUCAUGCAUACAUGAUGCUACAACUUUACUGGAAUGCUUAAACGAUAUUUCUCAUGUACUGUGGGUAUGGUUUUCAGGUGCCCCGGCAAUGACCUCGAGGGGUCUGGUGGAGAAAGACUUUGAGCAGAUUGGCGAGUUCCUCCACCGGGCGGUGACCAUCUGCCUGAACAUCCAGAAGGAGCAUGGCAAGCUCCUCAAGGACUUCAACAAGGGCCUGGUGAACAACAAGGACAUCGAGAACCUCAAGGCUGAGGUGGAGAAGUUUGCUGACUCCUUCGACAUGCCUGGGUUCACGCUUGAGAGCAUGAAGU
rnacentral:lncRNA from 1 species